rnacentral:misc_RNA from 1 species
UAGAAAACGACGCGGAUUUCACCUAAAUUUCAAAACCCUAACAAAUUUUAGGGUUUUCUGAUUCUCACUUCAAUAUCUCCAAUGGAAACCGAAGAAGAAGACAAUUCAAGGCACUCUACAAUAACAUCAAUGACGGCAACCGCUACAGAGCCUCAAACUGUAAACAACCUCUUAUGUGCCCAACAUCAAUGUACGCCCCACCCUGUGACCGAGUUGCCCGACCAACAAUUCGGUGGUGGCGGUGGGGAUGGCGAGUCACGACCACCACCUGAAACAGAAACUAAAGUUCCCGACGACGGCGAAUGUCAGGAUGUGGUUGCGGGGGAGAAUACGUCCGCGGUAGAGUUUAGCGAGUUGGAUGUUGUUGGCGGUGGUGGCGAGACUCAAUCUCCUCCUUCACGAUCGUUGCAACGACCGGUGGCUGAGGGAGGCGAAGGAGAGAGUGCUAAGGCCGAAGAGGAGAGUGCUGAGGUGAAAGAGGAGGGCCAGCGUGUCGAGACACCAGAAAUUGUGCCAGAGAUUCCUGGAAAAGAAGAGGAAGAUAAUGUUUUGAUUCCUGGAGAGGAACGACGUGGACAUUUGAACGAUAGUGAUUCAUCUAACGAAGAUAAGGAUAAUGGAGUGGACGUACCAGGAGUGAAUAAGGAAACAGAGACUAAAAUGGAGGUUGUUGUUAACUUAGUGGAGGACUCUGGGAAGGCAGUGGAAUUAGAUUUCACUGGUACGAUGAAGGGACUGGCAAUAGUGUAUAAGGAUAUGGAGAAGAGGGACGUGGUAGAGGAAACAAAGGAGGAGGCUGCUGACACCGCAGAAGAGGCAGAGAUGGCUCAUAUGUCAGAGGAAACAAAGGAGGCAGCUUUGGAUACGGCAGAAGAGGCAGAGAUGGCUUACAUGGCAGAGGAUACCGUGGAGGUGGAGGAGGAGAAGGAGGGGAUGACUGAAGAAUUUACAUUGGCAGAGGAGAUGGAGGCAGCAGAUCAGACUGAAAUGACUGGCAAUGCAGAGGAAAAUAAGGUAGCAGAGGAGACAGAGGAGGUUGUUAAUGAGGCAGGGGACAUGGACGGGAUGGAGAUGGCUGAUAGGACGGAGGAAAAUGGAAAGGAAGAGAAGAUGGAUGUAACAAAUGCCAAAGAAGAAUCAGAGACGGCUGAAAAAGCAGAGAAUGCAGAGGAGAUGGAACUGGCAGAUGGAACUGAGGCGGAGGGGGCAGGAGAUGAAGUGGAGGAACUGAGCAGAAAUGCUGGUGGGAAGAGGAAGCGGGGAAAGAAUGCCAAGGCCCCCUCUAGAGUUUCAACCAGGCAGAAGGUGGAGGAGGAUGUUUGUUUCAUUUGCUUCGAUGGAGGUGACCUUGUCCUCUGUGACCGCAGGGGGUGCCCUAAGGCAUAUCAUCCUUCCUGUGUUAAUCGAGACGAGGCAUUCUUUCAAACUAGGGGUCGUUGGAAUUGUGGUGAGUGGCUUUUCUUUCUGCUUCCAAGUUUUUUGAUGGGUAUAUUUUUAUUUGAUUAUUCUGUUACUUGUUAUUUUGUGGUGUUUCAGAUGUUUGGUUUCUGUUGAUCAGUGGACUUUUCUGAUGUGGCUUUGGGCUUUUCUUCACUUGCAUUUUUGCAUUAUUAAAUUUUUAGUUAGAGGAAUGUAAGGGAUGAUGAUAAAUUUCAUAGUGAUUAUAUUUAGGUGUUUUAGUGCAAUUGUGAUAGUACACAGUUGGAAAAUUUGAUUCUAACAAAAGAUGUAAAUAAUUUCCUUCACAGCUUGAAAAAUUAAAUUUUAAUUUUGUUUAUUUUAAAGGUCUUUAAAACAUUUACAAAUCACAACUAUUUAAACACUUCCAAUUUUUAGGCACAUCCUUUUAUUUGAAUUUCUUUUUAAGUAUUUAAGUUGUUGCUUUUCUUUUCUUUGGAAAAGGUUCUUUGUACAUGUCAGCGAAGCUUGCAGGAGUGGACUUGUGUGAAGGGAAAGGAAGCUCUUGCCCAGCACACUAUUUAAGUUUUGCAAGCUCACCAAGUUGGUUUAUUGUGCGUGAUUUGAGGUGUGACAUUGACUCCAAUGAUUCGUGUUCAUGAAUUGUCGAAAGUCCCCUUCAAUUGCUGAUAUUCGCGAUAUUUGGUUCCAAGUAGAGGCAGCAAAAUUGUGAUUACUAUUCCGCGAAGUUAUCAUCUUUUAGUGACUACAUGAUAGGUUUUAUGAAACGCUGAAGGUCUCAAAGGAAAUUGUAAUAUUAGCCUAGCUUUGUACACACCUUUUUGUGGGGAAAUAUUGGGCCUGUUUGGCAUUGCUAU